CUUCCAAGCUGUAUGCUACCCCACCUCCUCCACACUGAUGACCUACUCACCUUCCAGCUGGGUCAAUUAACAAGCAGCUUCAACAGCUUAAAACCCCACCUGGAGCUCAGCAGACACACAGUGGUCCAGAGCAAACAAUGGAGAAAGUUUUUGUCAUUAAAGAUAUGAGAAGCUUUGAGUGUUCAUCUCCAUCGGAGCUUGACAGAAAGUUUUUUGAGGAGCAGAGUUGGCUGUCUGCUCUGUCCGUGGAACAACUGUCCACAUCAAGAAUAUCAAAUGACGCAGUGGCUGAUGGAUCUGAUGCCAGGCUGUCUGUCCUGGCUUCCUUCUGCCUGUCCUCAGAUGUUAGUUCUCCCUCUCAGGCCUAUUCAAUGAGCAGCUUCAAUGCUCAAGACACUGACAACUGUCACCUGGCUGUGCCUUUACAAGGAAUGGCUUCUACUCCCCAAGUGCUCCUUCAAAAGCACAAAGGGCCUACAUUUUUUGACCAGCCGAACAAUGAUCUCACUGCUUCUCAAAUGUCAUGGGACGUGUCUUUGAUUAAACCAGAGAGCAACAGCCCCAAACCCUUCAUGGAGUCGAGUGUUGUGGAGCAAACAUGGAGUCCUAAACCACAGACUUCACAGCAUUCACGUGCUGAAGUUUCUCCCUGAUGUGGCCAAGAAUGUCCUUCUACCACCCUUAUCAUGGAUAAUUCACAGGUUUGGCAGGCAGAAGGGUGGAAUAUGACCGGUACAUGACUGCCUCUGCACUCACCAUGCAUCAAGCACAAAGGAUUUUAGUUAAAACACUGGAUUUACAUGUGACUGAUCCAUGUGUGAGAAUUAAUGCAAAGAACACGACACCAUAAUUUUUUUUUGUUUUUAUAAAAGAUUUUAAUAUUUAAAUAAAGGUAUGUGACUUCUCA